AUGGCGUGGUGGGCAGGGAGCAUGGGCGGCCUGGAUCUCCGCAACCACCUGGCGCAGUUCGGCGGCCCAGCUGCCGGCGGCGCUGCCAUGGGCGGCGCCGAGCAGGCCCCGACGACCCCAAACAGCAGCGGGAGCAACAACCACGACGACUCCUCCGGCGCAGCGCAGGACUCCCCCACCGCCGGCGCGGGCGACAACUCCCCUAACCCCAACGCCGCCAUCUCAGGCUCAGGCCCGUCCGGAGGAGGCGGAGGCAGCGGCGGCGGGGGCUCGUCGUCGGGCCGGCGGCCGCGAGGGAGGCCCGCGGGGUCCAAGAACAAGCCCAAGCCGCCCAUCAUCAUCACGCGGGAGAGCCCCAACACGCUGCGCUCCCACGUGCUGGAGAUCGCCAGCGGCGCCGACAUCAUGGAGGCGGUGUCCACCUUCGCGCGCCGCCGCCAGCGCGGGGUCUCCGUGCUCUCCGGCAGCGGCGUCGUCGGCAACGUCACCCUGCGCCAGCCCGCCGCGCCGCCCGGCUCCGUCGUCACGCUCCACGGCCGCUUCGAGAUCCUCUCCCUCUCCGGCGCCUUCCUCCCGUCGCCCUGCCCGCCGGGGGCCACCGGCCUCGCCGUCUACCUCGCCGGCGGGCAGGGCCAGGUCGUCGGGGGCACCGUCAUCGGGGAGCUCGUCGCGUCUGGGCCCGUCAUGGUCGUCGCCGCUACCUUCUCCAACGCCACUUACGAGCGCCUCCCGCUCGCCGAUGAAGAGCCUGGCGAGGCGGCCGCGGCGGCCACCGGAUCCGACGGCAUGCAGCUGCCGGAAGGGCCGGCUCCGGGAGGAAAUGGCGGGAUGGGUGCGGCCGUCGGCGUGCCCGGACUGCCAGACCCGUCGUCGAUGCCAUUCUACAACUUGCCGCCAAACCUGCAGAUGCCUAAUGGCGGCGGUCAGAUGGCGCACGAUGUGUUUGGCUCCUUCCGGCCGCCACCGCCGGCCUUCUAG
rnacentral:rRNA from 1 species